GCUGCAGUAUCGCAACACACAGUGUCUCUUCGAGCCUGUGCUAAGAUUGAGGACAAAUGUGACUGUCUGAAGGAAACAAACAUGAACCCUGUGUGAACUGAAGAGGACUGUGGGCUGCAUAUCUGGGACUUGAUGGGGCUGCAGUUGGGUGACCUCUGUGACAUGGCCAGUGGCAAGAUGCACCGGCCCAUGAGGUCCUGCAGAAGAGCGGAUAGAUUCCAGGGCAGAGUGGUAGCAUCUUGUAACCCGAAGCUGGUCAGAGAGGCAGAAGAGACUCUCACCACCAAGCAGAGGCUGGCCAGCCCUUGGGAGAGGAGGUGGCCCCGGACUACCCAGCUCUGGGACAUGGGUGAAGUCUCCCAUCAAAAGGUAGCCUUUCUCUG
rnacentral:lncRNA from 1 species